rnacentral:rRNA from 1 species
GACGAACGCUGGCGGCGUGCUUAAUACAUGCAAGUCGAGCGGAAAGGCCCUGCUUUUGUGGGGUGCUCGUGUGGCGCGCGGGGGUGUAUCACGCGUGUAAAAUGCACUUGACUUUGGGAUAACUUCAGGGGAAUGGGGCGAUUACAGGAGAGGAGCUCUUGCUGCACGGUGGGGGUUGGAAAGAUUCGGUGGUUGUGGCUGGUCUCGAGGCUUAUUAGCCUGUUGGUGGGGUAGUGGCUUACCAGGGUUUUGACGGGUAGCCGGCCUGAGCGGGUGACCGGCCACAAUGCGACUACGAGACGGCCCAGACUCCUACGGGGGGCAGCAGUGGGGAAUCUUGCACAAUGGGCCGAAGUCAGAUGCAGCAACGCCGCGUGCGGGAUAAAGGCCUUCGAGGUGUAAACCGAUUUGUACUGUGACGAAGCGUGAGUGACGGUAAUGGGUAAGAAAGCACCGGCUAACUACGUG